rnacentral:rRNA from 1 species
AGAGUUUGAUCCUGGCUCAGACUCAGAUUGAACGCCGGCGGCAGCCCUAACACAUCCAACUCGAGCGCAUGAGAGGACCUCCUCCCUCGAUUCAGCGGCGGACGGGUGAGUAAUGUCUAGGAAUCUGCCUGGUAGUGGGGGAUAACGUUUGGAAAGAACGCUAAUACCGCAUACCUCCUCCAGGAAAGUGGGGGAUCUUCGGGCCUCUCGCAUCAGAUGAGCCCAGUGGGAUUAGCUAGUUGGUAGGGUAAAGGCUUACCAAGGCGACGAUCCCUAACUGGUCUGAGAGGAUGAUCAGUCACACUGGAACUGAGACACGGUCCAGACUCCUACGGGAGGCAGCAGUGGGGAAUAUUGCACAAUGGGCGCAAGCCUGAUCCAGCCAUGCCGCGUGUGUGAAGAAGGCCUUCGGGUCGUAAAGCACUUCAGCGAGGAGGAAGGUGUCAAAGCGAAUACCCUCAGACAAUUGACGUACCAACAGAAGAAG